UGGCGGAUCGUCUAAUGGUAGGACUCUGGUUUUUGGUGCCAGCUAUCGGGGUUCUAGUCCCUGUCCGCCAGCAA
rnacentral:tRNA from 1 species